GGGGGUUACUUUUGUACUCGUGAGACAUUACUGAAAACAAAUAUGAGAAUGAUGGAGAUGUGCCACCUGAUGGCAUUUAGAACUGCCUCCUUAAUAGCAUGGCCUUAAGGAACAUGUGAUUAAGAGGUUAAUCAUACAGAUCCUGCUGGAUUUAGAAGGCUAUUAACAGAGCAGGAUAGAAACAAUUUUAAGUUAUACAGACUGUAUCCAUUUUGAAGCUGCAUUCUUAGUGAGCUGUCCAGGAGGUGGGAGGGUCUGGGAGGGAGGGUCUGCUGCUGAUUGGCUGGAAUGUGUCUGCUGACUGUGAGGUACAGGGUCAAAGUUUACUCUAUGAUGAGUCCGCGGCAAACCGUUCGGGACAUCACUAUUAAACAUAGAUCUCUCUUUUCAGGAAGUGUUUAGGAAGGCUGUGUAAGUCACAUGCAGGUAGGCUUGACUAGUGCUGCUCAAACAAAAUCAUUUAACUCCUAAAUGUCAGAUGAUUGAGCAGUGAGACUGCAGGGGCAUGAUAUGUACACCAAAACUGCUUCAUUAAGUUGUUUUGGUGACUAUAGAGUCCCUUUAAGUACCAAUGUUGAUGUAAAAAGUAAUUAUCAUCCGCUUGUAAAUAUUCAAUAAUACAAAAAUAAAUGCUUCAUCAAGCUAAAGUUAUUUUGGUGCCUAUAAUGUCCUUUACAUUUUGAUCUUUUAACUAUUUAGCAGCUAACUCCUAAAUUUGCUAUCCUUAAUUAUGGGAAUCCCAAAUAAGGAUACCAAAUUAGGAAAAUUAGGGAGCUAUCCAAAACACAAC